AUUGAACGCUGGCGGCAUGCCUUACACAUGCAAGUCGAACGGCAGCGGGGGAGAAGCUUGCUUUUCCUGCCGGCGAGUGGCGAACGGGUGAGUAAUACAUCGGAACGAGCCCUGUAGUGGGGGAUAACUAGUCGAAAGAUUAGCUAAUACCGCAUACGACCUGAGGGUGAAAGUGGGGGACCGCAAGGCCUCAUGCUAUAGGAGCGGCCGAUGUCUGAUUAGCUAGUUGGUGGGGUAAAGGCCUACCAAGGCGACGAUCAGUAGCUGGUCUGAGAGGACGAUCAGCCAGGGUGAGACUGAGACACGGCCCAGACUCCUACGGGAGGCAGCAGUGGGGAAUUUUGGACAAUGGGCGAAAGCCUGAUCCAGCAAUGCCGCGUGUGUGAAGAAGGCCUUCGGGUUGUAAAGCACUUUUGUCCGGAAAGAAAUGGCUCUGGUUAAUACCUGGGGUCGAUGACGGUACCGGAAGAAUAAGGACCGGCUAACUACGUGCCAGCAGCCGCCGUAA
rnacentral:rRNA from 1 species